GCAGGAUGAAGGCUUCGGUUGUAAACUGCUGUUACACUUUACCAACGCUCGGAAGUUAAUAGCUCUCCGAGACGAGCAAGGUGGGAGAAAGCACAGGCUAACUCCGUGCCAGCAGCCGCGGUAAUACGGAGUGUGCAAGCGUUACUCGGAAUCACUGGGCAUAAAGCGCGCGUAGGCCGGACCUCAAGUCGGUUGUGAAAUCCCUCAGCUCAACUGAGGAGCUGCAGCCGAUACUGCGGUCCUUGAGGACAAAAGGGGAGAGCGGAACUUCUGGUGAAGCGGUGAAAUGCGUAGAUAUCAGAAGGAACGCCGGUGGCGAAAGCGGCUCUCUGGUUUGUUUCUGACGCUGAGGCGCGAAAGCUUGGGUAGCAAACGGGAUUAGAUACCCCGGUAGUCCAAGCCGUAAAACGAUGAGUACUAGGUAGAGGAGGCCUCGUCGCCUUCUCUGCUGGAGCAAAUGUAUUAAGUACUCCGCCUGGGGAGUACAGUCGCAAGGC
rnacentral:rRNA from 1 species